AAAAUAUUGAGCAGACUGUGCCCAGAAGUUGGCUGAUCACUAGGAAGAGGGAAGAUGUUAGAAGGCAAACGGAUUUGUUGGGGAAUCGCAGCAGCUGAAGACUAUCAUGCUUUUUCCUCAAGAAGACAAGACCAAGAAUCACAAGCA